GGUCAGCUGACACAUCCCUGCCAAUCUCCGGCAGACCCUCCCUCCCAGGCCCUCCCACCUCCUGGACAGCAUCCAUGUUGAAGCUGCCUUCAACAUGGAUGCUGUCCAGGAAGUAGGAGGGUCUGGGAGGGAGGGUCUGCCGGAGAUUGGCAGGGAUGUGUCAGCUG